UUAUUGUUCAAAUUAUUAUUAUUAGUGUGGUUGUAGCGCGUGCUAAAUUGUACACGGCGUUUAUAUUAAUUAUUAUUGUGUAAAAUAUAUAAAUAUCGCGUCAUUACGCAUUAACCUAAUCAAUAAGACUUGUACGAGGUAAUAAAUUGUCAGUUCGCCCUUUCCCAUCCACAGCACCCCGCAAGUCGUUGCCGCAAACCGCAAGUCACACAAGUAGGUGCGGCGCGGCGCAACAGUGAUCAAAAUAAAAAGGCUUAAUAAGCAACUAAAAAACUCGCUGUUCACAUAAGAAGCAGACGUUCAUUAACAAUUUGUUUUUAUUUAUUGUUAUUUGUUAUGGUAAAAAAAUGAUUUAUCACUAUCACAAUACUUUUUUCAUGGAGUAAAUAGUUUUUUUUCCAUGAGAAAACCUCUUUAGAGUCUUUCUCACUCGCACAUAUGUUGGCUCCUAUAAUUUCUACAUGGAAAAUGUGUUGUUCGCGGUAUAUUCUAUUAUAUGUCUAUGGUUUGUGCAUAAUUGCAUUUAUUGUUCUUUGUUCGAGAUAAAAUACAAUUUAUGGUUAUCGCCACAACUUUUUAGACUUUCACCGUCCAGCUACCGAGUGCCGGAGUGUCUACGGUCUUUCGAUCGUUGGACAUUUUGAACAUUCAAGAUUCCCAUAUCUUCGUUCCAUCAGUAAAUUGUCGCAGCCAUCCGAGUACGAUUUACAAUAUUUCCACCACCAAAAUACCAGAUCACGUUUAUGCGUUUCGUGGGCGUACGCAAGCGGUGUGCAACAGAUCCUGUUGCAGUGGUAGUACUAUUAAUUAUACUUAUUAGUUAUUAACAUUGAUUAUAAAUACAAGUACCUAUUUAAAAUCAAUGCUAUUACCUAUAAGCCAAGUCGCGGGACACAAACUAUAGCCACAAUAGAUUUUACAACAGUAUAUGACUGUACACAUAGAUGCACAUGAAAAUAAUAUAACUAUCUAUAAGAUACAGAAAAGAUUUCAUGGAUUGAAAAUUGGAACACACUUCAAUAGCAAUUUAAGGAAAUCAAAGUAUAAUAUAUUAUUAUGCAAGUAGCAGUGGGCACACGAGCACGAGGCCUACCUAAAAUAUUGAAAUAAAUAAAUAAAUAUAUUUCAAAAUCAGACUAUAAAAAUAUCCGCUGCUGAAAGUAAAAUUAUACUUCAUAUUACUAGUGAUCAACAUUAUAGAUGAACAAUAUGGAACAUUUAAAUUCAAAAAACAAGAAUAUUCAUGUAUUCAAUAAAAUAUUAAAAGUAUCACUUGUAAAUUGUGAUCAUCUAUUGAAAUUUCAUAACCAAAAAUUAAUCAGAAAA